CUAAGGCUAAAUACUCUCUAGUGACCGAUAGUGAACCAGUACCGUGAGGGAAAGGUGAAAAGCACCCCGGAAGGGGAGUGAAAUAGAACCUGAAACCGUGUGCUUACAAGUAGUCAGAGCCCGUUAAUGGGUGAUGGCGUGCCUUUUGUAGAAUGAACCGGCGAGUUACGAUUUGAUGCAAGGUUAAGCAGUAAAUGUGGAGCCGUAGCGAAAGCGAGUCUGAAUAGGGCGUUUAGUAUUUGGUCGUAGACCCGAAACCAGGUGAUCUACCCUUGGUCAGGUUGAAGUUCAGGUAACACUGAAUGGAGGACCGAACCGACUUACGUUGAAAAGUGAGCGGAUGA
rnacentral:rRNA from 1 species